rnacentral:ncRNA from 1 species
GUAAAAUUUUAUUCUGGUUUGUAAAUUUAUUUUUUGAACGCUAUACAUGUAAAUUUUCGUGUGAAUAAAAAGUAUCUAAAAGGUUUUAGUUUAGGCGCAGUAUUGAAUAUUAAUUAUUAGAGUAAUCUAGAAUUAGCAAUUUAAUUAAGUAUUGGCUAAAAACGUGCCAGCUGCCGCGGUUAUACGUGGAAUACGAGUAAAUUAUUUUCGGUUAGGAGUUAGUUUAGUAGUAUUUAAAUAUUAAUUAGUUUUGGAAGGUGGAAUUUUAAAAGUUAAUGAAGUUUAUGAAGGUUAAUAAUGAGGCUUCGAAGAUUUAAUAAUAAACUAGGAUUAGAUACCCUAUUAUAUAAAAAGGAAAUAUAUUCAAUUUGAGUAGUAAUAGUUAAGUUCUUGAAACUCAAAGAAUUUGGCGGUGCUUUAGUCUUAUCAGAGGAAUUUGUCCUGUAAUUGAUGAUACGCAUUUUAGUCUACUUAAUUUUGACAAUCAGUUUGUAUACCGCCGUCAUAAGAAUAUCUUAUAAGAGAAAUUUUCUUGAUGUUUAAAGAAAAUAUGUCAGGUCAAGGUGCAGCUAAUAGUUAAGUGGGAGAUGAAUUACAAUGAAGAUAUUUAGACGGAGAUUUUCUUGGAAUAGAUAAUUGAAGGUGGAUUUGAAAGUAAUAUUAUUUUAUUAUAAUAGUAUGGCUUAAGCUCUAGAGCAUGUACACAUCGCCCGUCGCUCUCGUUAUAAGAUGAGAUAAGUCGUAACAAAGUAGGUGUACUGGAAAGUGUACCUAGACUGAG